UCUUUUGUUGCAUUGUUUGUCUUUCAUUGCUUUGUUCUUUCAUUGCUUUGUUUGUGCAUUUUGUUCAAAUUUGUUCAACACGCCAAGAAUCUGGACAACUCACAGUCAAGACCUUCUUGCUGACAUAUUUUGGUGAGCCAGCCAGGAGAUGGGAGAGGCUGAGCAAGAUGGCCAAAUAGAAGCCUCCAUUGAUCAUCCCCCCUGCAGGAACACCAGAUUUAACAACCAUCUACAUAAAAAAGCACUUUCAUAAGAACCAAAACUCAGGAGAUUAAGAUACAGAUACAGCGAGGGAAGACCAUGUAAAGACACAGAGAGAAGAUAAACAUCUACAAGCCUCAGAUGCUUCAGAAGAAAUCAGCCCUGCAGACACCCUUGAUCUCCAGAACUGUAAUACAUUUCUGUUGUUAAAGCUGACCAGUCUGUGGUACUUGUUACAGCUCUAACAAGUGAGAAGGCAGCAGUUUUCAAGCGAAGAAGAGGACCCUUAUCAAGAACCAAAUCUGGUGCCACCUCGAUGUUGAAAUUCCAGUGUCCCAAUCUGUGAGAAAUAAAUGCCUUUUGUUUAAGUUGC